UCUACCCUCAGUUAAGUAAUUAUUACUUUAGCUGGUGUUGGAGGCCGGCUAAAGCUGGUUUCUGAAAUAUAGCGGCCACAGAUAAAGCCUCUUUCUACGUAGUAAUUUCUUCUCGUUUUAAGGGUAAUAUCUCGUGUGCCUUAAUUUUUUAUUAUU
rnacentral:misc_RNA from 1 species